rnacentral:lncRNA from 1 species
UCAAAACUGAGACACUCACCAUAAUUACAAUUGCCUUCGACUCUUAAUGGAAUUCGCCAAUAUUUUUCAUUAAACCACUAUCAAUAUUAUCACCAUUUUAAUUCUUUGUUAUUGUUUACAAUAUGCUGUGCAUGGAGAAGAUUUCACGGCAAUUGAAUUGGUCAACCGGUUUACUAAAGCGGACGCCAGUGGCGCCGCGUGUCGGAUUAUUACGAUUUGGCCCGUAAUUGUACUUUCCACUAGGCACUCUAUGGUUUGCUUAUUAGUGACCUAUGUAUGGGUUUUGGUUGGGCCCAUAGCGGCUAAACCCAUAAAGUAACGAGUGAAGUUCCUCAAUCUCCGGUCUUGCGCCCAGACGUCUUUUGGACUACUACUUAAGCAGUUCCGCGACGCAUCUGGGGGUCUUUCCAGCUCCUGCGUCCGUCAAGAGUGAACCGUGCUGCCCGCUGUGACGGAGAGAGGUUUGAAAUAAAUCUAUUAUCAUCUCUCUCCGCCAGCACCUUUUUUGUUAAAAUAACAUCUAAAACUAAAAUGCAUUAGUGUUUCUUCAGUUUCAACGAAAUAUUUUUGAAGCAGGAUGGGUUUUAGUAGUUUGAUGCCUCUCGAAACUUCGGCUCCUUAAAUAUGACAGUGUAAACCGCCAGCCGUGACCCAGCGGUGAUGAGGAUUUCGCCCUGAAGCCUGAAAAAUAAUUUCGCCGCCCUUAGUCCCGUCAACACACAUCAUGCCGUAAGCCCUAUGUGGUGAAAAAUUGCCCAUCGCGGGCUCUCGCCCCCGAAAGAAGAACACCAUGGAACUUGACCCGUAAGCACAUUCUUUUAAUCUUAACCAUAUUCUUCUUUUGAUUUUUUUUUGUAUGAUUUAACAUGAAUUUAUUAUCACUUUCUCAUUUUAAUAUUUAAAACUUAAGUAACUAUAUUUAUGGUAUAAUUAUCUAAAUUAAAACAAUUCAAUGUUACGCCUUAUUAUGUAAUGCUUCCGAAGUGAUCACUGACGAAUUCAGGUAUCUACCUUUGGGUUAUAAACUUGUAUAUAUAUAUAUAUAUAUCUUUUAUUUAUUUUUGUUUACCUUUUUAAGACCAUCUUGUAUAUUUACUUAUAUUUACUUACCAUGUAGAUUUAACUCCUUGUUUCUGAUAAAUUAAGCUAUUGAGUAUGACUUUAAUAAACACCCUAUUUAAAUUAAA